rnacentral:lncRNA from 1 species
AUGCCAAUUCUGCUUAUACGGUAUUACCGUACCAACGCCGUUGGAUCUUAGUGGAGAUUGGGGUAACCUAAGAGGGGUCAAUCAUAUUGGGUCAUUUGCGACUUGUGCCCGCAGCCUCUCUCGAGUCUCAACCCUCUCUUCCUCAGUUCCUCUCAAAACCAACCCAGCCCCAAUCCAAUCCCAAAAACAACAAUCGUUCAUUGAUGCGAACCUCACUAACAUAAGUUUCAACCCAGAUAUCGUUUGAUUUUGAAAUCCCCAAAUCGUUCGACCAACCCUAAAUCAGUUGCUUGGUUGAAGUGGUUGCUCGGAGGCUUAUACAGUGUUCAAGUGGUGUUUCCGAGUACAAAUAAUUAGGAAAGUCCUUUGAAGCUUGAAGGUAUUGACCAUGGAUUUCAGUUGAGGGUUUAUCAGUUUAUCCUGAGGCAAAGAGGUGAUCGAGGUCUUUGAUUAGAAACUGCUGCUCUGCAUUUGGGAGGUGCGAACUCGCCUACGACAACUACUACUUGAAGAUUUGGACGGUGCAAACAUCCAGUUCGAAGAUAUAGCUGUUGUGCAUUUUUUUGUUAAGUGUUUGGAGUCUACUUGAAGAUUUGGAUGCAGUUGUUGUGUUUCUUUUUUCUGUUUGUUUAGUCAUUGGAAUCAUCAAAUCGCUUGCAGCUUUUUGUUUAUUUCAAUUUGAGGUUAUGUAAUAUUCAAUAACUUUUAGACUUGGACAUCAGUCACAUAUUAUGUGAGCUUGUAAUUUGUGAAUGUAGAACUGAAAGAGAAAAAGUGAAAACAUCAACUCUAGAACUCACAUCUCCAUAAGAAGGUGAGGAAUAUACUUGAUGAACAUGUAUUAUUCAGGA